AAUGCACAUGCUGUGAGCUCGAUGAGUAGGGCGGGACACGUGGUAUCCUGUCUGAAUAUGGGGGGACCAUCCUCCAAGGCUAAAUACUCCUGACUGACCGAUAGUGAACCAGUACCGUGAGGGAAAGGCGAAAAGAACCCCGGCGAGGGGAGUGAAAAAGAACCUGAAACCGUGUACGUACAAGCAGUGGGAGCCUCUUUUAUGGGGUGACUGCGUACCUUUUGUAUAAUGGGUCAGCGACUUAUAUUCUGUAGCAAGGUUAACCGAAUAGGGGAGCCGAAGGGAAACCGAGUCUUAACUGGGCGUUAAGUUGCAGGGUAUAGACCCGAAACCCGGUGAUCUAGCCAUGGGCAGGUUGAAGGUUGGGUAACACUAACUGGAGGACCGAACCGACUAAUGUUGAAAAAUUAGCGGAUGACUUGUGGCUGGGGGUGAAAGGCCAAUCAAACCGGGAGAUAGCUGGUUCUCCCCGAAAGCUAUUUAGGUAGCGCCUCGUGAAUUCAUCUCCGGGGGUAGAGCACUGUUUCGGCAAGGGGGUCAUCCCGACUUACCAACCCGAUGCAAACUGCGAAUACCGGAGAAUGUUAUCACGGGAGACACACGGCGGGUGCUAACGUCCGUCGUGAAGAGGGAAACAACCCAGACCGCCAGCUAAGGUCCCAAAGUCAUGGUUAAGUGGGAAACGAUGUGGGAAGGCCCAGACAGCCAGGAUGUUGGCUUAGAAGCAGCCAUCAUUUAAAGAAAGCGUAAUAGCUCACUGGUCGAGUCGGCCUGCGCGGAAGAUGUAACGGGGCUAAACCAUGCACCGAAGCUGCGGCAGCGACGCUUAUGCGUUGUUGGGUAGGGGAGCGUUCUGUAAGCCUGCGAAGGUGUACUGUGAGGUAUGCUGGAGGUAUCAGAAGUGCGAAUGCUGACAUAAGUAACGAUAAAGCGGGUGAAAAGCCCGCUCGCCGGAAGACCAAGGGUUCCUGUCCAACGUUAAUCGGGGCAGGGUGAGUCGACCCCUAAGGCGAGGCCGAAAGGCGUAGUCGAUGGGAAACAGGUUAAUAUUCCUGUACUUGGUGUUACUGCGAAGGGGGGACGGAGAAGGCUAUGUUGGCCGGGCGACGGUUGUCCCGGUUUAAGCGUGUAGGCUGGUUUUCCAGGCAAAUCCGGAAAAUCAAGGCUGAGGCGUGAUGACGAGGCACUACGGUGCUGAAGCAACAAAUGCCCUGCUUCCAGGAAAAGCCUCUAAGCAUCAGGUAACAUCAAAUCGUACCCCAAACCGACACAGGUGGUCAGGUAGAGAAUACCAAGGCGCUUGAGAGAACUCGGGUGAAGGAACUAGGCAAAAUGGUGCCGUAACUUCGGGAGAAGGCACGCUGAUAUGUAGGUGAAGUCCCUCGCGGAUGGAGCUGAAAUCAGUCGAAGAUACCAGCUGGCUGCAACUGUUUAUUAAAAACACAGCACUGUGCAAACACGAAAGUGGACGUAUACGGUGUGACGCCUGCCCGGUGCCGGAAGGUUAAUUGAUGGGGUUAGCGCAAGCGAAGCUCUUGAUCGAAGCCCCGGUAAACGGCGGCCGUAACUAUAACGGUCCUAAGGUAGCGAAAUUCCUUGUCGGGUAAGUUCCGACCUGCACGAAUGGCGUAAUGAUGGCCAGGCUGUCUCCACCCGAGACUCAGUGAAAUUGAACUCGCUGUGAAGAUGCAGUGUACCCGCGGCAAGACGGAAAGACCCCGUGAACCUUUACUAUAGCUUGACACUGAACAUUGAGCCUUGAUGUGUAGGAUAGGUGGGAGGCUUAGAAGUGUGGACGCCAGUCUGCAUGGAGCCGACCUUGAAAUACCACCCUUUAAUGUUUGAUGUUCUAACGUUGACCCGUAAUCCGGGUUGCGGACAGUGUCUGGUGGGUAGUUUGACUGGGGCGGUCUCCUCCUAAAGAGUAACGGAGGAGCACGAAGGUUGGCUAAUCCUGGUCGGACAUCAGGAGGUUAGUGCAAUGGCAUAAGCCAGCUUGACUGCGAGCGUGACGGCGCGAGCAGGUGCGAAAGCAGGUCAUAGUGAUCCGGUGGUUCUGAAUGGAAGGGCCAUCGCUCAACGGAUAAAAGGUACUCCGGGGAUAACAGGCUGAUACCGCCCAAGAGUUCAUAUCGACGGCGGUGUUUGGCACCUCGAUGUCGGCUCAUCACAUCCUGGGGCUGAAGUAGGUCCCAAGGGUAUGGCUGUUCGCCAUUUAAAGUGGUACGCGAGCUGGGUUUAGAACGUCGUGAGACAGUUCGGUCCCUAUCUGCCGUGGGCGCUGGAGAACUGAGGGGGGCUGCUCCUAGUACGAGAGGACCGGAGUGGACGCAUCACUGGUGUUCGGGUUGUCAUGCCAAUGGCACUGCCCGGUAGCUAAAUGCGGAAGAGAUAAGUGCUGAAAGCAUCUAAGCACGAAACUUGCCCCGAGAUGAGUUCUCCCUGACUCCUUGAGAGUCCUGAAGGAACGUUGAAGACGACGACGUUGAUAGGCCGGGUGUGUAAGCGCAGCGAUGCGUUGAGCUAACCGGUACUAAUGAACCGUGAG
rnacentral:rRNA from 1 species